GCCCCGCCAGAAGCGCGCGUAUGCCUGCCUCCCUGUCCCCACAGGAGUCCCCAUUCUGUCCAGGCCUUCAGGAUAAUUACGUAUGUGUAUGUGCAUGGUUUGACCACCUCUUAUGUUCCAGGCACCCAGGCGAAGUGCUGAGGGUACAAGGACGACUGCAUCUCACACAAUUUAAGCGGGCGUGAGAAGCAAGGACGCAGUUACGGUUCAGCCUUCCCUGAGGGAUGAAAGGAGUAUCUGUGGACUUGUUGAGGAGGUCAGCAUACUCAGAAGUGACACAGUCGCCUUGUAUACUGCUGAGCACUGGAAAUACCUGCAGGUUCUGGAGGCCACAAGUCCAAAAUCAGAACCAGUGAGCCAAGGUCAUCGUGUCGGCAGGCCAUGCUCCUUCCAGAGACUCCAGGGGAGGAUCUAUUCCUUGCCUCCUCCAGCUUCUGAUGGCUAAUUGUUUAGCUUUCUCUCUCUCUAAGGUGUGACUGACU